rnacentral:lncRNA from 12 species
UUUUCUCAAGUUAUUACUGUUCCAGCUCAAUGGCGUUUAGAUGCAGCAUUUCACCUCUGCUUUUGAGAAGGAAGGAGAGAGGGAAAGAGAAAUAAUUGAUCACCAGCUCUUUCCUUCUAUAAGAAAUCUUCUACUCAUCACACCAGGGCUAUUCUCACCAAGCAGGACUGGCAGGCUGCAGAAAAAAGAGCCUGGGGACCACCAACCCCCCUCACCUCUGGUGCAGGCCGGAGCUGGUGUACAUUCUGCUCCUCGGAGUCACUGUGUCAGCCUCGGAAACCCCUGCUACAGGCUUCACAUGGGGCCCCUUAGAGUCUCUUCCUGAUUCAAAGAGAAGAACAAAAUGUUUUUGCUAGGACUCUUGUUUUUGUUGUUGUUGUUGUCGUUGUUGUUUUUUUCCCCAAGGAGAUCCUCCUUCAGCCAGCCAGGGCUGCUGUGCCAUAACACGGUACUACCCACUGAGGUGGCUUAAACAACAAAAAAUCAAUUUUCUCACAGUUUUGGAGGCUGGAUGGUCCAAGAUCAGGAUGUCACAAGGGUUGGUUUCUGGUGAGGUCUUUCUCCUUGGCCUGUAGGCAGCCACCUCUUCACUGUGUCCUCACACAGCCUUUCCUCUGUCAGUGCGAGGAGAAAGAUGGAGAUUUUUGGUGUCCCCUCCUCUUCUUCUAAGGACAUCAGUCCUAUUAGGUCCGGGCCCCACCCUUAUGACCUUAUUCAGCAUUAAUUAUCUCCUCAAAUGCCCCAUUUCAAAUCUCAUUUAGAGUCAGAGUUUCAACAUAUGAAUUUGGGACAGGGACAUAAUUCAGUCAGUAACAGACCCUUUUCUAGAAAGGUGUGAAGCGGGUACAUCCUGGGAAUUCUGAAAGAAUUAAGGGUAGUUUCAUCUUCUUCAGCCAAAAUAACUGCUUCAGGAGAAUUGCUGCUUCUUUAGCCAAUCAAAAUUGGAUUUGUACAAGGUUCUCAAUUUUACAUGGGAAGAGGGUCUUCCUGGGAGAAUAGCUAAAAAUAGCAGUUUUUAAAAAGCUUUGGGAAUUCUGUAUGAUACAGUGAUGAUGAACAUAUACCAUGAAGAACAUAUACCAUCAUACAUACAGAAUGUAGAACACAAAGAAUGAACCUUAAUAUAAACCUCAGACUUUAGUUAAUAAUGUAUCAAUAUUGGAUCAAUGAUAUCAAAUAAACCACAUUGAUAAUAAUACUAAUACUAGGAG